rnacentral:rRNA from 1 species
GUCUUUUUGAAUUAAAUUUAAAGUCUAACCUGCCCACUGAAAUUUUUAAAUGGCCGCAGUAUUCUAACUGUGCAAAGGUAGCAUAAUCAUUAGUCUUUUAAUUGAAGGCUGGAAUGAAUGGUUGGACGAGAUAUUAACUGUUUCAUUUAAAUUUUUUAUAGAAUUUUAUUUUUUAGUCAAAAAGCUAAAAUUUAUUUAAAAGACGAGAAGACCCUAUAAAUCUUUAUAUUUUGUUUAUUUUAAUUAUAAAGAUUAUUUUUAUUAUAAUAAAUUAAAAUAUUUUAUUGGGGUGAUAUUAAAAUUUAAAAAACUUUUAAUUUUUUAAACCAUUAAUAUAUGAGUAAUUGAUCCAUUAAUAAUGAUUAAAAAUUUAAGUUACUUUAGGGAUAACAGCGUAAUUUUUUUGGAGAGUUCAUAUCGAUAAAAAAGAUUGCGACCUCGAUGUUGGAUUAAGAUAUAAUUUUGGGUGUAGCCGUUCAAAUUUUAAGUCUGUUCGACUUUUAAAUUCUU